rnacentral:rRNA from 1 species
ACAUCACUUUGAAUCACUGAUUUCUUGUAAGAUCACCGAAGUUAAGCAAAGUCGUGCCUGGUUAGUGCCUAGAUGGGUGACCGCUUGGGAAUAUCUGGUGCUGUAAG